ACAUAAUUUAAAUCCCUUUUUGUAUUAAAGAGACCGGCCCCUGAGGGCCUUCCGUCCCCACGAAGUAAUAUCGGAAGACAGUUCCGUGGGGUACAGGAUAGUGUGUGAGGGGGUGUGUUUUAGUACGUGGAAAUCGUGCAUGCCUAUCAGUACGGGCUGUAGGUAUCCUUGAAAGAUUUCACACCUCCUGC
rfam:Lucilia cuprina strain LS Scaffold806, whole genome shotgun sequence.